UAUACUCUGGUGUAGUGGCACGUUAGAUUUUGAUUCUUAAGGGAAUGGUUCUUAAACCAUUGAGUAUAA
rnacentral:tRNA from 1 species